UUGAAACUACCUGCGGAAAGUAUAGGGUUUACUCGCUGCAGAAUCUUCUGCGUUUUUCUUAUUUCACAAAUAUUGGUUAGAGGUGCUUCCGAUUUGAUCAAGACGUGUUCUUCUUUUAUCUCUUAAGCUUCUUCGGAGUUCUUUAAAGGCGAGGAUACUGGAUUCGUUAGCUGUAAAACAAGUAUGUAUUAGGGUUAUAUUGAACUUGAAGGGAUUUUCUAAGUACAGAUUUCGGUAACAGAGAUUGAAACCUAGGUUUCAUCUAAUGAAGGCACUAGAGAAUCAAAUCAAGUCCGACUGUGGAAGGAAUUCGAUGUACAAAUUGAUACAAGAACUAAUAUAUAUAUAUGUUAUGGGUUGACUGCAAUUCUUGCAGUGGUAGUCCAAAAAAAAGUGCACUUUGAAUUGUCGGAGUCCUUGAGAAGAAUACGUGUUCUGUUGUGAAUAUCUUUGACGUGACUUUGUGUCGUCGACUUGAUAUGACCGAUGUAGUGGAGAAGUCAAGGUUAUAGACCACGUAUCAAGAUUAAGGAGACUAUCAAUGUGGUUAGUUUUGGUGAUUUUGUAGGUUGUUGGGAACUCCAUCUAAGGAAAAGUGGCCGGGAGUUGGUGCCUUGAAGGAUUGGCAUGAAUAUAUCGAUGAUGGAAGCCACAGAACUUAGCCUCUCGAUAUACCAUGAGUGGAAGCUGAUAGUGUUGAUCUCAUGAUGGUAUGAGAGAAUCAACCAAAUAGAUUAAUCAAAUUUGGAUUGUUGAGACUCGCUGCGAUCGGAAGUUUCUUUGGAGUUGAUUCGGAGAAUUGGGACCAUGAAACUAUGUGAUUUGGAAACUCCAUGGUGGCUUGUGAUUGCUGAUGCAUUAGAGUUUCCAGUAUUAUAUCGUAUUGUGGAUUCUCAUGGCAGCUGAAUGAUGAUUCCCUGGCCUUCCUAAUGGAAUGUUUGUGUGCCAGGUUUGUGUUUCUGCGUACCUUCGUAUCAUUCCUAAUCUGCUUAGCGAGUAGCGAGUAUUAGGUCAUGUAUACCAGUGCACAAUGAUGAAGUCUAAUGAUUGACAUGGACCACACCUUGCUGGAUGAUUCUCUGUGAAUUCUCUUUGAAGUACUACACAUCACGAAACACAAAUUAUGCCAUGAGAAGGAAAAGGGAUUUGGGAGAAAAAUAUAUGUACCUGAAACCCAAAUCAAGGUCUGUUGAUCCUCCCACUGCCAGAUCUGUUUUUGUUAUCAUCAAUUGCAUUAUUGAACCAAUUAAAACAUGUCGGUUGGAAACCAGGUAGUAGCAGAGAAGCUAAAUCUUACAAUAUUUUUGAAGGUUUCCGAUUUACAAGAUUGGGGAUGAUCGUAGGAAUGAUCUUUGGGGUGCUAGAGAUGAAGAUUGUGAUGCUUGGCUGUGGGGAAGUGAUGUUAACUCUUUUAAGGAGGUAAGAAGAACCUCUUACUAUACUCAGCUUUAUAGAGAUCACUGCUAUAGUUACAAAGCAUCUGAAUUAAUAAAGAACUAGCUAUUUAUCAAUGGUGACAUAGUGAGGCGGCCACAUGGGCAGUAGCAUAAGUAACACUCUGCGUUGAAUAUGUGUUAAUUCAAAUAAGCCCCAUGUAAUCUGUAUUCAUCACUUUGAGAGAUGAACAGAAGUUUCUCCGUCUGAUUUAAAUAUUGAAAUUUGAUUUUGAGUAGACGCAAAUUUAAAUGGAAUUUGAAGAUUUAGCAUGGAUCUCUCCCCGACUCUUCUUUUUGAGUCUCUACAUGACAUGUGAAUCUUACUCAUGUCCAUACUCCCUAGAUCAUAAGAGCAUAUGAAAAGUGAAAGCAAAUCUACUUCCAAUGAGAAAAACUAUCCAGACUUCAUAUAGUUAACGACUAACGAAACUGUGAUCUAAUUGAAGAUGAGGUUGUUGUUCAUAAGGUUAUCGACUACAGGAGUUACAAAUUGUAUAGUGUCCACAAUUGAAUUACUACUGAGAAAACAGAGAUAAGCUUGGAAAUGAAAUUGACUUACAAUUAUGUUUUUGUUACUAUAUAUUAAAUUAGUUUUGUAAAGUACUAUUAUCAACUUUUUUUGAGAAAUAUUAUGUAACAUCAUAUUUUGAUAAAGAUGAAGCCUAGCUGUUCAGCUAUGGUGCCAACUCUUUCCAACCGAAUGAUGAUUUUCUUCAGCGACUACACUACAAUUUUAAAUAAAUAUCUUAAUGACUUCGUACCUGAACAGGUAAACUAUGCAUUAUUUUAUUUUUAACUUGGUAGUCUAUAAGGUGACAUUUUAUUGCAAAAUUUUUGUUGUCGUUCGAGUAAGUAUUAAUUAGGGAGCUGACCAAUUGAAUUAGGCAUGGGAUGUGACCAAUUUUUAAAAAUGUUGGUGAUUUUUAUUUGAUCAUUGCUAAUGUCAUUACAGUGUUAUUGUUGCAAGUAGUUCCUUUGCUUUAUUCAAAUGCAGCCUGUGAAUCGAAUGCCAUAUCCACUGCCCAGGGUCACUACCUUGGGGAUUCAUAUCUAAUUAUGUAGGUGCUAAAAUAUCUUGCCGGUGCAUGUUCCGGCUGCAAACCAGUGAUAUAAUAAAAGGUAUUUUUAAAUUGUAAGGCAAGUAAUUUAUGGACUGUUUCACAUGAGAAUUCCAAGGACCUUCAAAUAAUGUUAAGGAAUAAGUCAGAUUUAUAGCAUCAGUUGUAACAGUAGAAUCCCUCACAAAUGGGUACUGGUGCAUCUGAUCAUGGCUCUUCAGUUGUAGAAUCAAGAACAAAGGUAAAAUUAGUACUGGAGAUCGUAUAUCCUCUAUACUUGCACAUAGAUAAGUAAGACAUAAUUUACUUAAGGAAGAUCCACUUAAAAAUCUCAAGUUAAGUGUUUUCCGUUGUUUUUCAUUUCUUAAAGCAUCAAUAUGUUUCCUAUCUAAAUAUUUCGCCAUUGACACAUGCAUCCUUUGUGUUUGCUGCUUCUGCAAGUAUUCAUGGUGGCAUCAGAUUGGACUUCCGAUUCAAUUCUUCUAUUAUGAGGUAGAAUUGAUUAUCAUGGUACAUUCGUUACUGAUGGAGUUCUUUGGUAAAUAUUAGGUAAGGUGCACCAACGACUUCAACACAAGCUAUAAACUUGGGUUUAUAUUGUUGGGAUAGUAUAUGUGCAGGAAGUAGAGGAUUGGGUAAACUCUCUUCUUGUUAUGCUUAUGAAUUAUUCUUGCUUAAGUAUCAUUAGUUAAAUCCCAAUUACAAUAAGAAAUGGUACUUGUUGUCUUCGCUCAUGGAAAAGCACAUGGUUCUCAACCAUGUAGAUGUGGUUCGACUCCCACAGAUGGCAUAUUUAUUUGACUAAGCUAAAAUUUACAUGCUUCUGAUGACAAUAUUAUCUAUGGAUUAUACAGAUUUGAAAAGUGUUAUAUAUCAUAUUUGUCAUGAUUUGCGACUCCAAUUGAAGUGGAACCUGGAACCAUGCAUAGCAAAAGGAUAUAUCUCAUAACCAUAAUCAGAAUACCAAGGGGUUGGAAGGAAGUUAACUAAAGGACUGUUGUAAUUGUCUUAGAAACUUUCACAAUCGUUGAGAAUUCCAUGGGUGUUAUCUUGGGUGGACCCAUGUAGGACACUUAUCUCGGUUGGUUUCUUGGAUUCGUAGUUUUGUUAGUUUGUUGUUCGUUAUUGAGUAGAUUUUCAUGUAUACUAUUUUAAUGUUAUGGAUUAACUAUGAAGUUCUUGGUGCUUUAGCUAGCUGCUAGGAGUGGCGAACGCUUCGCUUUUUAACGUUAUGGCUUAACUAUGAAGUUGUUGAUGGUUUAGCUGUUAGGAGUGGCGAACGCGUCGCUUAUGACUCCUGCCGACGUUUCCGCGACAUUGCGGUGGGAAAAUAGAGAUUUCCCAUAAAAUCCAUAUAUUUAGCUUAAAGUAUGCUGCUCGCUGCACCACACACACCAAUUGAUCAAACAAGGAGCACAUAAGAGGUAAGAAAAUAUUUUUAUUGAGAAAACAUGCUUUAGUUAUGCGAUUUUGCAUUGUGGCUCUAUUAUCUAUAAUCCUACUUUGGUUUGCGUUAUUAUGACUUAAGUUCUAACCCUCUUACAAUUAUUUAUUUGUGACAUAUCGUUUAUCUUUGGAUGGUUUUAUUGGAAGAAGAACUCUUUUAUCCGUCCAUGAAUAUGAGAAAGUUAUUUUCUAUUUUUUAUUUUGCGGUGAGCAAAAUAAUGCUAAUUGUUUAUUUAAAAGUUAAGUAAUGAGUUGUUGAGAAUAGUCCCUAUGGUAGUUGUUUAAGAUUGUGCAGUUAAUAAGCACGAGUUGCCUAUAUUUCUUACUCAUUAAAUUAUUUGUUUACA